UCAAUCAAAAUUAACGUAUUUUUAAACCCUUUUCCCCUUUAAUUACAAAGUUUAAAAUUUUAUUUUUCUUAAAUAUCUGCCGACAUCACAUGAGGAGAAUAGUAGUUUUCUGUCACAAUGUGACACCGUUAUAAAUUGUCGUUCGUGCCGCGGUCUACUCGUAGAGCCUGUCAGCAAGCCCCCGUAAAUCUUUCCCGAAUCUUAGUUUUGACAAAGUCAAAGUCAAAUUAAAGUUGCACAGUAAAUGUUUUUAGUGACCUAUCAAAUUUAUUUUAUUCACUUAAAAUAUUUUUUCUUCAUUAAUCAUUCGAAAUGUUUCUAAAAGCUUUUAUUACAAUAGAUGAUUUUUAUUAUUUUUUAAACCGUGCUAUUAGUAAAGUUAUCUUCAAUUCAUAACAUCAAAUUUUACAUUAAAAUUGUGUCAACAUCAUUUUAGUGAAGACCAACUUCAAAUCGAUAAUUUUCAUCUAGGUAUUUCUACCAUUGAAGUUGGAUCAUCCCAUAAAUUUUGAAUUGGUGCAAAAAGUUCACGCUCAUUCUCGACCAUCAUGUUGUGCAAUAUAAUAUAUGAAGUUAAUAUAUCAUGUAACAUUUUUUAUACACCAAAAUUAACUUAUAUUUUAUAAAAAAAAAGAAUAAUAUAUAUACAAAAAUUAAGUUUUUGUAACAAAAAUUAUACACUAAAAUUAAAAAUUAAAAAUUUAUAUUAUGAAAAUAUUACAUAGGAAAUAAUUAGAUAUAUUGGGUGAUAUGUACUUUUUAUAUUAUUGAAUGAAUAGGUGAAAUGUGCACACUUGGGGCAUGGGCCAAAUUUAAAUAGGCCAAAAUUAAUAAAUGUUCUUAGUGACCAAUCAAACUUUUACCCUUUAUUUUAUUAAUUGAAUAAAAAUAAUAACUCUACUAUGUAUCCUCCUUUUCUUUAGUUUCAUUCUCUAGAUUAGGGAAAAUAAUACAACAUGUCUAAACAUUAUGGGUGUGUUUGGCACGAAGAAGGAAAAUGUUUUUCAUGCAAAGUGUUUUCCUGAAAAAUGUUUUCUUAGAAAAUAAGCUGAUUUUUAAUUUAUUUUUUCAUUUUGGUUGGUGAGUAGAAAAUAUUUUCUAAAAAAUAUUUUUUAAUGUUUGGUUGGUGAAUGAAAAACAUUUUUCAGAAUAUAUUUUUUUAUUUUGGUUUGAGAUUAGAAAAUAUUCUUUAGGAAAAAAAUUUCUAACCCGAUAAUCAAUUUAGGACCCAACCCUGACACCCUAACUAGGACACGACCCCGACGAUCGUUUCAAAAUCUAACCCAGGACCUAACCCAAACUUUCGACCCUGAAAUAUUUUUUAAAAACAUAUUUUUAAAAAAAAUAAUUGACGGGAUGUUGUUGGGGGGGGGGUGAUGAGGGUGUGGCUGGGAUAGAGAUGAUGUAAAAAAUGAUACUUUAAAAAAUUGAAAUAUUUUUUCAAAUAUAAUUAUUUUUUAGAAAAAAAAUUGACAGGGGUGGCCGGUGACUAGGUUAGGAAUGGCGUAAAAAAUAAAUUUAUAAUAAUUUGAAUUUUUUUUUAAAAACAGUUACUUUGUUUUUUAAAUUGAUUUUUCCGAAAUAGUGUUUUUGCGGGGUGGAGGGAGAGGGUAGGGGUUAAGAGGUAAAAGUUCUUUCAAAAAUGGUUUUGAAAUUUAUUUAUUUUUUUGGUUUUUUUUUUUUUUUUUUUUUUUGGGGGGGGGGGNNNNNNNNNNNNNNNNNNNNNNNNNNNUGGAGGGAAGUUGGGGGGCUGAUUUGGGGUAGGGGUAAAAGAAAUAGAAAAUUUAAAAGUUUUAAUAUUUUUUUGAAUGGGGAGGGUCAGGUACAGAAUAUAAGAAAAAAUAUAUUGUAAUUUAAGGAUGAAGUAAAGUUUUGAAAAAUAUUUUUCUUAAUUUUUAAAGGAAAGUUAUUUUCCUUAAAUUAAAGAAAUAUAAGUUAAUUUGAAAAACAUUUUACAAAAUAUUUAAGUCAACCAAGCAUAAGAAAAAAUUAGAAAACAUUUUACUUUCAUACCAAAUACACCCUAUAUUUAUCAAAACACUAUAUUUAAGUCAUAUGAUAUAUUAUGAAACAAUAUAUAACAACCCUCCAAACAAGUUGUUAAGAACCUAAGUGGCGAAUUAUAGGAAAUUAUUACAUUUUGAAACUUUUUAUUUACAAAGUAGCUUUGAGGUGUACGUUGACUAAAUAUUGUAACUUCAUGUCUUCAUGUUAUAAAGUUAAUUUAUCAAUUCUUCACUAAGUAUAGUUUUGCACAUCCUAUAUUUUAAUUUUCUUUGAUUUGUAGAGAUAUUUCAAGCAUAAAAUUUAUGAAGUGGCCUAAUGUUGAACUCUUUGUUGGGUUAUGAAGGGUGAUUAGGGCGUCAUGCGGAAGCUUACAAUUGCAAAUAAUAUGAUUGAUAAAUUAGAUGACAAAAAUUUAUACUAAGAACUAAUAUUAUUAUAUGAAAACUAAUAUAAAGAAAAAAUAUUAAAAUUCUUGAGAGAUUAAAUCUCCCCAUAAACAAAACUCACUAAACGACUACAUUGUGGAUUAUAUUGUUUUUUUUGUUAUGAGAAUACGGAUCUUCAAUUUAUAGAUCUCCAAACUAUCCUCUAAGGAAAGAAUAAACCAAAUAUGGAAGAAAAUUAUAUUUUCCUUUCAGAAAAAGUUUAAGUAUUUAUGGUAAUACUUUGACUUUUCUUUAAGGAAAUAAAUAAACUUCAAAUAAGAUAAGAAAAUCACGGCAAAAUCCUAACACUCUUUGCUAGUAAAUAUUAGUAUAUGUGAAUUUUUGAACUUUGCUGUGUGUACAUAUGAAGGCAAAAAGGAGGUGAAAGUUUUUCCAACUGUCAAGUUACACACAUUUGAUUUGGCAUGUCGCCUAUUCAUGAACCUUGAAGACUCAAAUCGAAUUUCAAAGCUCUUCAAUCUAUUCAACAUUUUCUUGAAAGGAGUCAUAUCUAUAGCCCUAAACAUUCCUGGAACUAAAUUUUACUAUGCAAAGAGAGCAACAAAGACUAUCCGUGAAGAACUUGUAUUAAUUGUGAAGGAGAGAAGAGAGGCCAUAGAACAGAAAUUAUCAGAUUCUCCUCCACAAGAUCUUUUGUCACAUUUACUUCUAUUUCCGGACGAGAAUGGUAAAUUCAUGUCCGAACUAGAGGUAGCUGAUAACAUCCUCAUGAUGAUCUUUGCCGGCCAUGAUACCACCACUGUUACUACAACAUUAGUGAUGAAGUAUCUCGCGGAGUUGCCUCAUGUUUAUGAAAACGUUUUACAAGGUCAGUCAAAUACCGUCAUAUAAAAUGAAACAUAUGAAAUGUCAGGGCUUCACUAACAAUAAAACAGUUGGUAAUAUUUUUUGGUUGAUACUGAUAACAGAACAAAAGGAGGUUGCAUUAUCAAAAGGAGGAAGGGAAUACUUGAAUUGGGCUGACAUACAAAAGAUGACAUAUACAUGGGAUGUAGUGUCUGAAGUUCUCAGGUUAACAUCACCAAUUAUUGGAAGUUGGAAAGAAGUACUAGAGGAUUUUAACUACCAAGGUUAUAGCAUUCCAAAAGGAUGGAAGGUACUCCAAUAUUUGUUUUACUUGAUAUAUUUUUGGUGGUUGUUAUGUAUACUCUUUGAAGUUUUUUUUUAUUGGAUAAUAUAUCAUUGAGCUAGCUUCCUAGGGAUUAAUUUUAUUAAUAAAACACAAAAAAAAAAAAUCUUUACAGAAAUGCAAAAAAAAUAACAACUAGCUAGAUCACAAAAAUUAGAACCAGAUUAGAACUAUUAAUUAUUACAUUUGCAUUCAACUUCUGCAGUUAUGGUCUCUCAAUUUUUAUCGAUUCUGCUUUAUAUUCAGUCCCUAUGCCCCUCCAUUGUUCCUUUACAAUUUUUGGUUGUAAAACACAAUCAUCUAAUGAAGGCUUGGUUUGAUGCGACAGAUAUAUUGGAAUGUCCCUGCAACACACAUGGAUCCUAAAGUGUUUCCCGAUGCUAAGAACUUUGAUGCAUCAAGAUUUGAAGGAGCAGGACCAACACCAUUUUCAUAUAUUCCAUUCGGAGGAGGGCCUAGGAUGUGCUUGGGGAAAGAGUUUGCACGACUGGAGAUUCUUGUUUUUAUCCACAAUGUUGUCAAGGAUUUCAGAUGGAAGUUAUUGAUUCCAAAUGAGAAAAUCGAAUAUGAUCCCAUGCCCACACCAAUUGAAGGACUUCCUAUUCUUCUUCAACCCUCGGAAGAUAUUAUAGCUUGAUCACUGCCCUCCCAUUCUAGUUGCCAGUGAAAGAAAAAACGACACUAGAUAUUAGAAAUGAGCACUCAGUGUCAAUGCGCUUCAAAAGAGUCAUUCAUGUACAAUCCAUAUUGGAUCUGAUCAACUGCCCAUCCUAUCUUUUUUACAUUUUGACCCAAGUAAGAAAAGUUAUGUUCAUAUAUCUAGAAAUAUAUUUCUAUUGAACUGUGAAAUGUUAUGUGUUGUCAUUUAUUAUACUUAAAUAUAGUUUUGGAAUUUACGAAACAUCUUUAAUUAUAUGGACUAUUCUAAUAUUUGAAGAAGCCUUUUGUGCCUUGGAAAAUCAAAUAUUCUCUAUCAUAUUUAUGUAUGUAUGUGCAAGUGUUGUUGGGUUUGGGCCUUUUUCCCUUUCUAUGUGGAUAAAUAAAAGUUCAACAUGACUAGCCCACUUUUGCCCAUAAGUCCAAUAUUAUGGUGCAUAUGUAAGACUUUCUUUUAGGUCUUAUUUUGAUAUAUCACAAGAGUUUGAGACCAGCCAUAUACAGAGAAAAGUGAGAAAGUGCAGAUUUUCGCACAAGCCUUAGCAGCCAAUUUCAAAUCGUGAUUUUCGCUUCGUUUCUUGUCCGAUUAAGCUGAUUUUUGGACAACUUGUUCUUUUCAACUUAACCUUUGAUUGGAAACUGAGAGGGGGUGAUUUGGAGUCCUGUAGCUCCAGAUUUUUUCUUGUAAACAGUAGCUGCAGGUUUGGUGUUUUUUGCUUCUUUUAUUUCUCUAGUUUUUGAUGCUAUCCUGUAGUUGUGUUGCUCAUUGUUUGGCACUUUUUUUGUGUCCAUUUUGGAGAACACUUUUUGUAACUCUUGUUGAUUUUAGUGGAGCUUUGGCAUUGUGGUUUUUACUCUUCACACCGAAGAGGUUUUCCACGUUAAACUUUGGUGUCUCAGGUGUUCACUUAUUUUUCUUGCUUGGUUGAUUUAUUUGCUACCCAAACAAUUUUAUUCUUGCAUUAUUUUGCCUUCUCUUGGUUCAAAUAAAAGGAAAAGUUGUCUUGGGUUUUCUUCCGCUAUAGCCCUAUCGUGCACAUUUAUUUUGUGUUUGCUUUUCCCAACAAAGUGGUAUCAGAGCAUUGGGUUGUUGUUGAUUAUCUAUUUGAAUGAUGUAGUCAAAUAUGAACAAGAUGGUUUGUUUGAAUGGUAGUAAUUAUCAUACUUGGAAAGGCAAAAUGAAAGAUCUUCUAUUUGUCAAGAAAAUGCAUCUACCUGUGUUUGAUUCUAAUAAACCCGAAUCUAUGAAUGAUGAGGAUUGGAAAUUUGAGCAUUUACAAGUUUGUGGCUAUAUUAGACAAUGGGUUGAAGAUAAUGUGAGAAAUCACAUUGUUAAUGAGACACAUGCCAGAAGUUUGUGGGACAAGCUCAAAACACUAUAUGUUUCGAAGACUAGCAACAAUAAAUUGUUUCAUUUGAAACAAUUGAUGAACAUUAGGUAUAAAGAGGGCACUUCUAUUUCUGAUCAUAUUAAUGAUUUUCAGGGUGUUCUUGACCAGUUGUUCGGAAUGGGUGUAAAAUUCGAUGAAGAAAUGCAGGACUAUGGCUUCUUAAUACUCUGCCAGACUAUUUUGAAACUCUUCGAGUUUCUUUGACUAAUUAUGCUCUCAGUGGUGUUGUGAACAUGGAAUAUGCUAAGAGUGGUGUCUUGAAUGAAGAGAUGAGAAGAAGAUCUCAAGGCUCAUCUUCUUCUACUUCACACUCCGAUGUUUUGGUUACAGAAGACAGGGGGAGAAGCAUGUUUAGAGGUUAGAAUGACUGAGAUAAAAGUAGAGGAAAGUUAAAGUCUAGAUUCAAGAAUGUUACAUGUGACUAUUGUCACAAGAAUGGGCAUAUAAAAAAAUAUUGUUUCAAGUACAAGAGAGAUAUGAAACAACAAAAGAAAGAAGGCGAUAAUGAAAAUUGUGUUGUUGUUGUUGCUAACGAUGACCUUCUUGUUUCUUGUGAUGAAAAUGUCGUCAAUCUUGUUUGCGGUGGGUCUAGCUGGUUUGUGGAUUCUGGUGCUACUUCUCAUGUCACGCCCAGGAAGGUAUUAUUUUCUUCUUAUACUCCAGGUAAUUUUGGAAUUUUGAAAAUGGGUAAUAAUCAUGAGGUUGCAGUUCUUGGCAUUGGGACUGUUUGUUUGGAAAGUAAUAAUGGUUCCAAACUAGUUCUUAAUAAUGUCAAGCAUGCUCCAGAACUCCGCUUGAAUUUGAUUUUUGUUGGAUACCUUGAUGAUGAGGGUUAUGUUAAUACCUUUGGUGCUGGCCAGUGGAAGUUUACAAGAGGUUCGAUGGUGGUAGCCCGUGGUGACAAGUUGUCUAACUUGUAUGUUUUUCAGGGCUACAUUCUCAAAGGCUCAGUAAAUGUGGUGGAGAAUGAUACUUCAUCAUUGUUGUGGCAUAGAAGACUGAGUCAUAUGAGCGAGAAGGGGAUGGACAAUUUGGCUAAGAAGAAUUUGCUUUUUGCAGUGAAACAAGCAAAGUUGAACAAGUGUGUUCAUUGCUUAGCCGAUAAACAAAAAAUAGUUUCUUUUCAGAGUCAUCCACCUUCAAGAAAGCUUGAUUUGCUAGAGUUGGUACAUUCUGAUUUGUGUAGUCCUUUUAAGGUAAAGUCUCAUGGUGGUGCACUUUACUUUGUGACUUUUAUUGAUGAACAUUCUCGCAAACUCUGGGUAUUCUCUUUGAAGUCCAAGGAUUAGGUACUUGAUGUGUUCAAGAAUUUUCAGGCCUUGGUUGAGAGACAGAUAGGGAAGAAAUUGAAAUGCAUUUGUUCUAAUAAUGGUGGUGAGUAUAUUGGUCCUUUUGAUAGAUAUUGUAGAGAGUAGGGUAUUCUGCAUUAGAAAACUCCUCCAAAGACUCCUCAGCUAAAAUGGUUUGGCGGAGAGGAUGAAUAGAACUCUUGUUGAGAGGGUUAGAUGUAUGCUUUCAGAUGCUAAGCUGCCAGAUUCCUUUGGGCAGAAGCACUUAAUACUACUGCCUAUGUUAUCAAUUUUAUCACCCAAUUGUUGCUUUGAAUGGUGAUGUUCCUGGACAGAGUUUGGUCUGGUAAGAAUGUUUCUUAUGAUCAUCUUAAAGUUUUUGGGUGUAAAGCCUUUGUGCAUGUUCCUAAGGAUGAGAGGUCAAAGUUGGAUGUUAAAACUAGGCAAUGUAUCUUUGUUGGUUAUGGUCAAGAUGAAUUCGGCUAUUGUUUCUUUGAUCCAGUUAAGAAGAAACUUGUUAGAAACCGUGAUGUUGUGUUCUUUGAAGACCAAACAAUUGAAGAUCUUGACAAAGCUGAGAAAGUUAAUUCUCAGAGCAGUGAGAGCCUAGUUGAUGUUGAUCCAGUUCCUUUGACUAUUCCACCAGGUGAAAAUCUUCAAGAUGAUGAAAAUCUUCAAGUUGAUAUUGAAGAUAGUGAUCAUAUUCAGAAUGACCAGUAUGCCGUUGAUGCUCCAGUGCAAGACAAUGUAGUUGGUGAGGAACCAACUAUUAUUGAUGCUCCCGAGAGUUCUCUCAGAAGAUCUACUAGAGAGAAAAUACCUUCAUCUCGUUAUUCUCCCAUGAGUAUGUACUCUUGACUGAUGGGGGAGAACCAGAGAGUCUUGAUGAGGCCAUGGAAAGUGAAGAAAAAGAAAUGUGGUUUGAUGCUAUGGAGGAUAAAAUGAAGUCUCUACAUGAUAAUCAUACCUUUGAUUUGGUUUUGUUACCUAAAAAUCGAAAAGCUUUGAAAAACAUGUGGGUUUUUAAGGUGAAACAUGAAGAAGGUAACCCGGUUCCACGGUACAAGGCUAGAUUAGUUGUGAAGGGCUUUAACUAGAAAAAGGGAAUUGAUUUUGAUGAGAUAUUCUCUUCACUUGUGAAGAUGUCAUCCAUCCGUGUGGUUCUAGGCUUACUUGCAAGUCUGUACUUGGAGGUUGAACAGAUGGAUGUUAAAACUGCUUUUCUCCAUGGUGACUUGGAUAAAGAAAUUUAUAUGGAGCAGCCGGAAGGCUUUGAAGUCAAGGGAAAAGAGAAUUAUGUUUGCAAAUUGAAGAAGGGCUUGUAUGGUCUAAAACAAGCUCCCAGGCAAUGGUACAUGAAGUUUGGUUCUUUUAUGAGUCAACAGGGCUUCAAGAAGACUUAUUCAGACCAUUGUGUUUUUGGGCAAAAAUUCUCUGAUGUUGACUUCAUUAUCGUUUUGCUUUAUGUUGAUGACAUGCUUGUUGUUGGUCAUAAUGCUUACAGGAUUAAAAAGUUGAAGCAAGAGUUGAAUAAGUCUUUUGCUAUGAAAGACUUGAGACCAACAAGGCAGAUUCUUGGCAUGCAGAUUGUCUGUGAUAGAGAUGCCAAGAAAUUGUGGUUGUCACAAAAGAAGUACAUUCAGAAAGGACUUCAUUGAUUUAACAUGAACAAAGUUAAGGAUGUCAGUACACCUUUAGCUAUGCAUUUCAAGUUGAGUACUAAUCAUUGUCCUUCCACUGAUGGUGAGAAGGAAGAUAUGAAGAAAGUUCUUUAUGCUUCAGCUGUUGGUAGUUUGAUGUAUGCAAUGGUGUGUACAAGACCAGAUAUUGCUCAUGCUGUUGGUAUUGUUAGCCGUUUUCUUUCUAAUCCGGGAAGAGAGCAUUGAAAUGUUGUAAAGUGGAUUAUGAGAUAUCUUUGUAGCACUUCUAGUCUGAGUUUGUGUUUUGGUACAAAAAAUCCUAUUCUUUGUGGUUAUACUGAUUCAGACAUGGCUGGUGAUGUUGAUACUCGUAAGUCUACUUCAGGCUACUUGAUUACUUUUGCAGGGGGGCUGUGUCUUGGCAAUCUAGGUUACAAAAAUGUGUUGCGUUAUCUACUACAGAGGCUGGGCUUAUUGCAACUGUUGAAGCUUGCAAAGAGUUGAUCUGGAUGAAGAGAGUUUUGGGGGAACUUGGUUGUUCUCAAGAGAGGUAUGUGCUUUAUUGCGAUAGUCAAAGUGCUAUUCAUCUUGGCAAGAAUUCUACAUUUCAUGGUCGGUCUAAACACGUUGAUGUGAGGUAUCAUUGGAUUCGAGAUGUGUUGGAUUCUAAGUUGCUUGAACUUGAGAAAAUUCAUACCAAUGAUAAUGGUUCCGACAUGAUGACUAAUGCUUUGCCAAGAGGGAAGUUUGAAGAAUGUUGCAUGAUCACCGGGAUGGCGGUUUCCUCCACAUAGUCGGUAGGGGGAGAUUUGUUGGGUUUUGGGCCUUUUUCCCUUUCUAUGUGGAUAAAUAAAAGUCCAAUAUGACUAGCCCACUUUUGUCCAUAAGCCCAAUAUUAUGGUGCAUAUGUAAGACUUUCUUUUAGGUCUUAUUUUGAUAUAUCACAAGAGUUUGAGAGCAGCCAUAUAGAGAGAAAAGUGAGAAAGUGCAGAUUUUCGCACAAGCCCUAGCAGCAAAUUUCAAAUCGCGAUUUCUGCUUCGUUUCUUAUCCGAUUGAGCUGAUUUUUGGACAGCUUGUUCUUUUCAACUUAAUAUUUGAUUGGAAACUGAGAGAGGGUGAUUUGGAGUCCUGUAGCUCAAGAUUUUUGCUUGUAAACAGUAGCUGCGGGUUUGGUGUUUUUUGCUUCUUUUAUUUCUCUAUUUUUUCUUAUCCGAUUGAGCUGAUUUUUGGACAGCUUGUUCUUUUCAACUUAAUAUUUGAUUGGAAACUGAGAGAGGGUGAUUUGGAGUCCUGUAGCUCAAGAUUUUUGCUUGUAAACAGUAGCUGCGGGUUUGGUGUUUUUUGCUUCUUUUAUUUCUCUAGUUUUUGGUGCUAUCUUGUAGUUGUGUUGCUCAUUGUUUGGCACUGUUGGUGGCCAUUUUGGAGAACACUUUUUGUAACUCUUGUUGAUUUUAAGUGGAGCUUUGGCCUUGUGGUUUUUACUCUUCACACCGAAGAGGUUUUCCACGUUAAACUUUGGUGUCUCAUGUGUUGAUUUAUUUUUCUUGCUUGGUUGAUUUAUUUGCUGCCCAAACAGUUUUAUUCUUGCAUUAUUUUGCCUUCUCUUGGUUCAAAUAGAAGGGAAAGUUUUGACUUGGAUUUUCUUCCGCUAUAGCUCUGUCGUGCACAAUUAUUUUGUGUUUGCCUUUCCCAACAAGUGUGCAGGUCAAGUGAAACGAAUAACAAAACACAAUUGUUGUUGAGAAUAGAGUAGAACGAUCAUAGAGUUGCUGAAAAUUUACUACACUUGUUCAAAAUUUACUUUUUCUGUUUUCUUCUUUCCUUUCUACUCUUCCAUCUCAUAAAUAUAUAUUAAUACUAGAGCAAUAUUUGAUCUAUAACAAUACAAUCUGAGUGCAAAAAAGAAGAUUUUGAAGAAGAGACCCAAGAAGAAAAGAAAAUCUAAACAAUGUUUGGCAUAAGUGAGAAAGGUGUCGCUAAACUACUUUUUUUUCGAAAAGAAAAAACCCUAGGCUCUUAAAUCAAAACAUCCAUAAAUAACACUUCUAAUGCUCCAUUGAAGUUAAAUCCUGUCUAAUAUCGCGAUGGAGUUACCUAUACUGAAUGGACACUGCCAAAUUUGAGGAGCUUAUAGUGAAAGUAGAAUCUUCACUAUGCAAUUGUUGGUAAAUUUAUAUGGUAGACCAGAGUUGGUGGGAUUUAAGAAGGGUGAUACCACAACAAUUCAUUAUAAAUUGACUUAAAAGUCUCAAGGAUAGUGUGAAUAAUUAGAAGUUAGUUACAGGGUUAACUAACUUAUUGAAAGUUAGUUAGUUAACUAUUGUAGUUAGUUAGAAUUAAGUCUAGUUAGUAGGUCUAUUUAAACUGUACGCAUAUGCCUCUUGUAGGCGUUGAAAAAGAAUGAAAUUAACAAGAUUCUUUUACUCUCAAGUCUGCUUCUUCUUCCUCUCUUCUCUUCUUAGUAGUUCAGUUCAUUCCUAUUACUUUCUUCAUACAUUUCAAUUAAGUUAGUCAACGUGUCGUGAUAUGUUAAGAUAAAAUUGUAGUUUGUUAAUUAUUAUUUUAUAAUUAUUCGUGGUUAGUUAAGAAAAAGACUUUAGCAAUGUGUUGUUAUUGUAAGUCAUGUUUUAAUAUCAAAAUAAAAAAUUUAAAGUUAUUACUGUAAAUAACGUUUUAGCCUUUAAUCGUGAUUCAUAGUUAUAAUUUUAUAACACAUUCAAUUAGCUUCCAUAAAUGGAUAGAGUUUAGUAGGAAGUCAUUAUUAAGAGUUACAUAUUAAGGAUAGAACAUUACCCACAAUAACGAAUUAUCUUUAACGUCAUUAACUAUUGACAUUUUCCUCAUAAAGUUUUUACUAAAAUAAUAUCUAACAUGUUAUGUUAUUAUGAAAUAUGUUUAUUUUUAUUUUAAUAUUUUAGAAAAAAUAUUUUAUUUUUCUGUAAACCGAUUUACAUAAUAAUUGAUUUUGAUAGAAACAUUUCAUUAAGUGUGCUAUAUGUAAAUGACACUGUUGUUAAAAAAAACAUUAAAAAGAAGAGAAAACUUGAAGAGUUUUUGCCCAAAAAUGUCUUCACACUAUACACCAACUCUAAUUACAUCCUUAAAUUCUUCUUCUUAAUAAAUAAACAUCCCUCACGUAUUUAAAACAUAGUACAAUAUGAUAGUUGCGGUGAGCAACAGCUACAUGUCACUCCCAGAUGUGUUGGCCUUCUACGUGUUAAAUCCACCGUAAAUCCAAAUUCAAACAAAAAAACUUGACUAAGCAGCACAUCACUCACAUAUUUUUUUUGUUCUAUCAUAUAUCCAUUCCUCCCUUAAGCUCCCAAAUUAUAGAAGAAUAUAAUGGCUAUCUCUAACCUUAUUGUAAAGCCAUUUCCUCCUUUAUUUCACCCCAAACACACCAUCAAAACCAAUAAUUAUAAAUAUGAUGAUUACCAUACCACCAACAUACUGGCCCUAAGGUCUCACAUCCUAUGCCUAAAAACAAACAAUAUUAGUACUACUUCUCCACUUUUUGACCAACCUAGACCUAGUCUAUUCAAAGAUAAAGAUUACAAGCUUUCCUGGCAGGAAGAAGUUAAAAGAGCAUACGCUUUAGAGAUUUCCAACCAAAACUUGAAUGAUGAUGAAAAAUUGCAAGAAUUGGUUGACAAGAGGUCUGUAGAUAAUGUGAGAAUGUUGAUAGUAGACUCAGUGCAACAUGCAUAGGCAGGGCAUGCUGGAAUGGCUCUUGGGAUGGCUGAGGUUGCAUAUUUCUUGUAUAGACAUGCCAUGAGGUAUAAUUCAACAAGUCCUAAGUGGUUUAAUAGAGAUAGGUUUGUUUUGAGUGCUGGACAUGGAUGCCUUCUCCAGUAUGUUUGCCUUCAUUUUGCUUCUUUCCAAUCUGUUCAGGUAUAUACAAUUCAUUUAUGUUUGCUCAAUAAUUCUUUGUAACAAGAAAAUUUCCAUACUUAAGGCCUAAAACUAGGACCUGUAGAUCCAAUCAUAUAACCAAGGCCAAAAAUUAUACUAUUGUUUAUAUGUGGUGAAAAUUAUUAUUUUUUGUAUACAUAGCAUAUGUUGAAUCUCCUGGCUUCUUUGUGUCUUUAUUUCUUCAUAUUUUAAACAACUCACUGAAAAAUAUUUGCUCCGCCACCGCAUAUAAUUAUAACAAGUGAUCUCAUGACUGUUUUCUCCUGGUAAACCCAACAAUGAAUUGUAUUACUUGCCAUGUGAGUAGAUGGCUGAUCUACCUAAAUUGUGAUACUGUAAAGUAUUUUCCCCCAAGACAAAUAGGACAUGAAAUUUAGAAAUCACAAGCACCCUAAAAAACAAAUAAGCUAAGUACAAAUCUAUACAAGCAAGUCGACGAGUUAUGUGUGGGAUUAACAUAAUUCAACACAGGAACAGGGCACUCUGUGACAUUUCAGAUCAUUUCCUGAGAUAUUAGUCUUAAUUUAAAUCCUUAAUAUUGAAGAAAUAAUAUUGUGUUGAUGUGAGGUUUACUUUCACUACAACAAAAGCAUCUUUUAACGGCAAUAAAUAUGCAUAUCAACAAAGAGUGCUUAAAACAUUACCGGCAUUAGUUGAUUAUCAUUGGGAUCCAAUGUUGCUAUCGGCUUUAGGGGCAUUUACAGAGAGUGCUAAAAUGUAAUUGUCACUAGUAAUUGCCCCUCAAAAAAUAUAUGUUACUGUCGUUAAUUAAUUGUCACUAAACAUCACUUUUUAUUUAAUGCUUUCUCUUUUCUCUAUUGUUGUCAGCUGAUAAAAUAGACGUUAGGGGAAACAGAGAGAUGUUUCCCCAUAGCAUUUUAUUUUCCUUACAUACAUAGACGGUUCGAUGGUAAUUAUCACUUGUAUUCGAGUGUUCUGCUUUGUACAUGUAAACAGUUUUCAUCAAAAUUUUAAGUGAAUUAUUGCGUCAUUCAGAUUGAAGACCUUAAAUGCUUGUGUAAGCUUGGAAGCCAGACGCCUGGGCAUCCAGAGAAUGUAGUGACACAAGGCAUCGAAGUCACAACCGGUAUAGCUAAAUGCCAGUUUGAUUUCACUUUCGUUUUUCCCGGACACCUGAUGAUAGUGUUUGAGCUAUAUUUUCAAUUUGGUAUAAUCUCCAUGAUCAUAAUUUUGUCUCACAAGUAAGGAAUUCUCUUAUUUAUGUUAAGAAAAAAUGCACGAAAAAGCCCUUUGCAGGAAGUAAUAGUGAAAAUGUCCUCGUUAACUUUGGCUAGUGCAGACAAAAUAGAUAAAAAUUUGAAAUAUCCGUCAAGCCGCCCUCCAAUAACAACCAGAUUGGUAACUGCUUUUUAAAGGUGGGUAAAUAUAGAAAAAGUCAAUACAACCCUUCAAGAAAAUGGGUAAGUAGUGGAUUCACUGGUCGACUUCUCUGCUGACUAAUAUAAAUCGAAGAUCCUUCAUUUAUUUGGUUAAACAUCAUCUCGUGCAGUUGCAUGAUCCUAGCUUCAAUCAAUGGUAAAAAUUGUGGAUGGCAACUAACUAGGCAAAAUAUAAAAUUAAGUGCAUGAUAUCUAUUUUAUUUGUGCUAAUACCCUUGGGUUUAUAUAAAGGUAAACAAUCUUUCCUUGUAUGAUCAUAAUCUCUUGUAUCUCCAGCUAUAUAUUUCAUUAUUAUUGAUAUUUGCAGGAGUACUCUAAUUUUUAUUUUCUUGUAUGAAUGUAAUAUCACUAAACUAAAAGCCUCUUGGAUAACAAGGAACAUUUGUUGAAAGUUCUAUAAAGAGCCUUAUGUAACUUGAUAUGAAUUGUGUUGGAUUUUUCAUUGUAGGAUACGACGAUAUUAUUGUUUUCUCAGCAACCAUGAUCAGCAUGGUAUAUUCAAUUUCCAAUUUUUGUGUCACACUACAGGCCCUUUGGGACAAGGUGUUGCGAAUGCAGUUGGUCUUGCUUUAGCAGAAGCUAACUUAGGUGCAAGAUAUAAUAAGCCUGAUGUUGCCGUUGUUGAUCACAGAACGUAAAUAGGCUGACUUAUCCUCUUUAUUUUGUGGAUGAACCAAACAGCAUUUGAUUCAGAUAUAUUUUCUUCAGGUAUUGCAUCAUGGGUGAUGGCUGUUCUAUGGAAGGCAUAUCAAACGAGUCUGCAUCCCUAGCUGCACAUUGGAAGCUGCACAAGCUUACAUUGAUAUAUGAUGAUAACCAUAAUACUAUCGAUGGUAGCACUGACCUUGCACUUUCAGAAGACAUAUCGGCACGAUUUGAAGCUCUAGGAUGGAACACUAUCACUAUGGAUAACUCUGAAGGAAAUUUAGACGCAUUCAAGAAUGCAUUGAUCUCUGCACAUAGUGAGACCAGAAAACCAACUUUCAUCCGGGUAUGCAGAGUCGGUAUUACACCCAGAACAGAAUAGAUAUGUCAUAAUGUCUUCAUUUUAUAAGUUGUGGACUAUCUUCCAAGUUUUCAAUUAUUCCAGGUGCGGUAGUGCACUGCCUACUGAACUUUCUUUUUUGCAGGUGAAAACAAUUAUAGGGAAAUUGUCAAAAAAGGAAGGAACAUCAAAGGCUCACCAUGGAACCUUUGAUGAUGAUGAUGUAAAGCAAAUGAAACAGAGAGUUAAAUGGGAUGAUAGAGAACCUUUCCACGUCAUUCCUAUGGUUUACAGGUAAUAUUAUUUAUGCACCAUAUUAAAGAUAACAAAGAUUAUGUUGUAAGAUAGUAGGUCCAUUUGUUAUUAGGGAAACGCGAGCACAAACAGAUAUCGGUGGAAGGUUGGAGCAGGAGUGGCAUUCUAAACUUAAUUAUUACCAAAACAAAUAUCCUGAGGAAGCUGCAGAAUUCAAGCUUCUUCUUGCUGAUAGGAUGCUUCCUGGCUGGGAAAGCUCAUUACCGGUAAAAUGUGCAUCCAUCUAAUUUAAUACCUGUUAGAAACUAAUUCAUCUGAAAUGUGUUUGUGGUUGCAUUGUCAAAGAAGACAAAUACAUUUUCUAUUUAAGAAGGAAAGAUAUACCUGCAGGUCAAAUUGUAUAUCAGCGAAAUCAGGAUGAGUGAUUAGUCAAACUCUUCCGUCUCGUUGAGUGGUCCAUUGUUCUGAGUAAUUUCAAGAACUUGGACCCAAGUUAUAUGUUUGUGUUACAUAUUUGUAGCCCUUAAACAUUAGAUAUUUGUGAUUGUCGUUUAAAAUGUAUCAUAAGAUAUAUAAGGCUUCACCAUCCAUAGUUAUUUACUCUUCUUCAGCCAGAAUUUUUUAUCUAAAUUUUGGUACACUAUCAACAACAGAAAUGGUCCAUGUCUGAUCCAGUGGAUUCCACCAGAGGAUAUUCAGGGAAGUGCUUGAAUACACUCGCUAAAGUGCUUCCAGGACUUAUUGGGGGUAGUGCAGACCUUGCCAGCUCAAAUCAAGCCUAUCUCCAUAAUUUGGGAGACUUCAAGCAGCCCGAUUCCCCAUGGGGGCGAAACAUUAGGUAUGGAGUCCGGGAACAUGCAAUGGCUGGAAUUUCCAAUGGACUUGCGUUGCACGGUGGAGGGCUGAUACCAUUUGCAGCAACUUUCCUUGUUUUCUCAGAUUACAUGAAGAACUCUGUCAGAUUGUCUGCUCUUAGCCAUGCUGGAGUCCUCUACAUUUUGACCCACGACUCAGUCGGAAUAGGCGAGGAUGGACCAACUCAUCAACCAAUUGAACACCUUGCUGGUCUUCGAGCGAUUCCCCACUUGCUGCUCUUCCGACCUGCUGAUGGCAAAGAGACUGCUGGAGCCUAUAAGGUGGCCAUUGAAAACCGAAGUGUACCAAGCCUUCUUGCAUUAUCAAGGCAAAAGGUGGCAGCGAAUGUGGAAGGAACAUUGGCUGAUGCAGUACGGAAAGGCGGUUACAUUGUUAGCAACAAAUCUGAGAAGGAGCUACCGGAAAUCAUAUUGAUUGGCACUCGAUCAGAGCUGUGUUUGUGCGAAGCCAGCGCAAACGUGCUUAGAAAAGAAGGGACAAGAGUAAGAGUCGUUUCACUUGUGUGUUGGAGACUUUUCGAUAGGCAGCCAAGGGAUUACAAGGAGUUUGUUUUACCAUCGAGUGUAUCAAAACGUGUUAGCGUGGAGGCAGGCUCACCCUUAGGGUGGAAGGAGUAUGUCGGAGAUGAAGGCAUUGUUAUGGGGAUUGAUGACUUUGGUUCUAGCGGACCAUAUUCAGAAGUAUUCAACAAGUAUGGUUUCACAGAGGAAAAUGUGACCAAAACUGCAAAAUCUUUGCUUACCAAGUGAAGCUCUAUUACCACACACACAUAUAUUGAGAGAUAGGCAUAAAUCAUUCCCCUUUUUCUUCUAUUUUAUGAGUAAUGAAUGACUCAAUAGUCAUUACUCCACUUUCAAUUCUCAUUUGGUUUCUUCCCAAGGAUGGAGAUGGUAAGAACUCAACAAAAGCUUAGAGGCUUUAACAUCUCAGCCAACAACAUCGCUCAUAUUUCCAGUUCAUAAUCAAUUGCUACACAGCAUCAAAUGCCAAAGGGUUUUUUUAAUGUCUAUAGAAAGAAAGAAAAACACACACAAGAAUCUCAGUAAUUGUGAGGUUGAAGGCUAAUGGGAAGUCCUUGAAGAGGGGUAGGCAUUGGAUCAUAUAUAAAUUUUUCAUUUGGAAUAAGUAAUUUCCAAGUAAAUUUCCUGAUUAAGACGUGCAGAAAGACGAGCAUCUAUAUAUGGUGCAGGUCCAGCUUCUUCAAAUCUUGAUGGUUCCAACCUCGUUGGAUUGGGGAAAAUCUCUGGAUCCAAACUUGUUAAACCAGUAUUCCAGUACAACUGCUCCAACAUAUAUGAGUUUAAGAAACUAUUUUUAUAAUCACGUCACUAGAUUAUAAGAUAAAUAUAGUUGAAUUUCUAGUGAUAAUUACAUUGUGAUUUUAUAAUUUAGAUCCUUUGUGAAUUUAGUUGGAAAGCUCAUGCUGCAACUUGGCAAGUGUUGUAUGAUAUUAAAGCAUCAUAUUCAUAGAUAGAGUAAAUGUACUUACCUUCCAUCCCUUAGGGAUAUGAUAACCUUCAUAAUUUAUAUCCACAAUUGCUUCUCGAUAAGCCCCCAAUAUAGGUGGUGUAAUUAUCAUAACUUCAGCUAUGACAUUCCACGAAUACUUCAUCUUCUGUAUAUCAUCCCAAUUUAAAAAUUCCCCUUCUUUCUUUGAUGAUGCUAUCUCAAUAUGCGCUGCUUUGUCACCAAAUAAUUAAUAAAAGAUGGACCGUAUGUAAGACAAUUCCAUAAAUUUAUAGAAGCAUAAUACAUAAAUAUGUCAUGUAAUUUGGAUUCAGUUAACAUUUAUGCCUUUUAACUUAAGAGGUGUACAGGUAAGCACUUAAACUUGUAUAAAGUUAAGCAAGUAGACACACAUUCUACGUGACAUAAUACACAUAGGACACCACAUAUGACGUGUGUAUCUACUUGUUCAACUCAAUACAUGUUUUAAGUGUCUAUUUGUGCAAACUCAAAAUUGGAGGACAUAUAUAACAAAUGAGGCUAAGUUAAAUAGCAUAUUUAUAUAUUAUGCCUUAUAAAAAGUAAGGAUGACUAGAUAAAAGCAUGUUGUGAUCUUCUUAGUUAAAGGGUAAAUUGUUAAGAUCAAAAUAAUCAAGUGUCACGCAUAUGGCUAACAAAGCAAAUCCCAUAAUUCAGAGAAGAAAAAUAUAUAAAAAGGAACAAUAAUUUAACAUACUGACCUUGCAGUAUGUUUUGAUAAACUUGAGGGUGCUCUGCAAGAGUCUUGAUGAGUAAAGUAAGAGUGACAGAUGAAGUGUCAUGGCCAGCAAAGAGCAGCAACAAUAUGUUAUUAGCAAUAAGUAGUUCAGACAUGUACUUCCCAUUUUCAUCAGGACAGGACAACAAAUGAGACAAAAUGUCUUGUGAAGGUUGUUGACACACAAUUUUGACCCUCAUUUCUUCUAAUUUAGUGUUUUAAAGCUUCAAAAUUAAUGAUAUAUAAAAUUAUCUUUUUGACAACUAUUUUUACUACUAUGACUACUUAUCUGACAAAUUUUAUAUUCUAUUAUUGAAAUUAUUAUUAUUAUCACUUUUCACACUCUUUUAUUUAAUAAUCGAUUUGUCAUUGCUUUAUUUCAAGUUUCACACUUAUUAAAGUAAUAAUUAUAAUUUCAUAUUUUGCAUCUAUAUUUUUAUAAUUUUAUUUUGUAAAUUAGUAUUUGUCAUCCUAUAUUAUCAUAUUUAUGGUUUUAGCUAUUAAGUUAGAAGUUCAAAUAAAUUAAUUUAAAGAAGAAAAAAAAGCCCAAAAUGCUCUAGCAAUUUAGCUAUGUUCCAGCCCAUUUACAAGUUUCAAAUAUUCAGCAAUUUGGCUAUCCAAAUGCAGCCCAUCUCGACCCAUUUUUUGCUCAAAAUGUAGCAGUCCAACUACUCAAUUGAACGGACCCAUUUCCUCUAACAUGUCAAUUUAACCCUAUUCAUAAACUCUAGCAGCCAUACCCCACCCCUCAUUCCAUUUUUCAACCAUGGUAGGUAGCACCAUAACUGUGGAUAGUCUUUGUCCAACCUUUUUGAGCAAAUUUCAUCCAUUCACUGUGUUCUAGCAUAUCCUAACGUUCAAAAUUUCCUUCUCACUCAUAUUCAACAAUUUAGUCAACACAAGAAGCCAAAUAACUUUUUGAUUUUUUGAUUUUUUGAUUCUUUGGGGCAGAAGUUCACUGUUAAAACAACUUGAUUUACGGAGUCCAAGAUCUUCAUGUGAUUUUUCUCCAACCAAGACAAAUUUGAAAUUCAAAAUAAUUCCCGCUCAAACUCUAAGCUCUGAGCUUUAUUCAGUUGAAGAAACGGGCUUUGGUUAGCAAAAGAGAUCACGAAAAAGACUUGAACAUUCCAAAGAAUACCACUUUUUUACAUUUCAAUAUCUCCUACCUUUACUUUCUCUUUUGUUUGACUUUGUUGGAGGAACGAGCGUAGAUUCUUGAUCGAAGACAACUCAGUUCACUGCCCCUCAAACGGUAAUCUCAACUUUAUUUUCCUUUUUUAGUUUAUCUAUCAUCUGAGUGUGUAAAUUUGUUUGAAAUCAUAUUUUGGAGAUUAUUGAAGUGUAUGAGUUAUGUCAUGAAGAUUAUGUUUUCAUUAUGCUUUCCUCUGAACUCUUAUAUGCCAUGUUUAUUUUUCUGCAUUUUCAUAAAAUUCCAAACUUGUAAACUAGAAGUCCUAUUUUAAAUAGUUUGGUAUUAACUCUUCGGGUCAAUUAUUUGACAACAUGUGAAUUUAUUCAAAAUCAUAUCAUGUCUUACAUCACUUUAAAUGAUUAAAAUCAGAUUUUGAAAGUUAAAAAUAUACUCUGUCUAUAAAUGUUUAGUAGAGUAAUUUAGAAUAUGAUUAUUGUUGUCUUUUGUCUUAAUUAACAUUGUGAAAGCAAGAAGCAACAUCUGUUAUGCAUUUACAUUAGAAUAAAAAUAUGAUUACACUAACACUAAUAUGCAAAUUUGUACGUUUUGGAUAUUUCAUGAAAUGAUACUAUUUUAAAAUUUUCGCUAAACUUGUAUUGAUAUAUCUUAUUGUUUUAAGUUCAGUACACCGCCUUUUUAAAUAUGUUUGAUAGUGACAAUUUCUCUAAAUUUGAAUUUUUCGUUUGUUUUUUAUUUGCCAUCUUAUGAGUUAUAUUCUAAUGUAUUUAUUUUGCAUCUUCAUAUUAAAAUCUGCUUUCUUUUACUAAUUGUCAUCUCCUUUCCUUUGUUUGGCAUGUACACCGGAGUCGAAGAGUCUUACUUUACGACUCGACAUCACUACAAGACUCAAAAGUUGCAUAUACAUUUUCAUUUGUGUUUCUCACUUCCUAGAAACUCCAUCAAGAAGAAAAACAAGAGAAAGUGACAAGCGCUCGACUUUACUCUUCUUUAGUUGCUUAUUCCUAAUUUUCUUUAUGUUAUUUGCUAUGAAUACUGGUGUGUUUGUUUUUGAUAACUUUGUUUGACAUACUUAGAAGUUAAACUGAUCUUUGAUAAAAAAUAAUUUAGAAAGCAUUUAGCUACUAAUGUGGUCAAGCUUAUAGUUGAAUAUAUUUCCUAAGUUAGUUUUGAGUCAAUCUUGGAGCAUUAAAUUUUUAAAACAAAAAAAAAGGUUUGUAAAUGGUAUGUCCAGAAGUUGUUUUUAACUCAACUUAGCAUACUAGAUCACUUUGAUGAUUUAUUUAUUUUUCUUAAAAAAUAAAUAUCUAUUCAACAACAACAAAUUGUUUUUAAAUAAAUAAAACUACUACUUUACGCUUUUUUAAACACUACUUUAUCUUUUUAUUUUAAAUUAGUCAAUUAUUUUACGCUUUAGCACUAAUUUUCACUUAGCCUAAUUAAUUAUUUAAGUUUGGCCGAUUAACCAUUUUAAAUGGAUCUUAAAGAAUGUCUAACCCCUUCCCUUUAGGUUAGUUGAACCCUUACCUAGAAUCUUAUGUUUAGUAGACCUUAAAAUGAAGUUAACUUUAGACAAUAGACUUUAAUCAUUUUAGGUAUCCUAAUUCACCGUAAUAAUUAGGUGGCGACUUCUUGACUUAGUUAAUAAUUUAGAAAUCACUAAAAUGUUGUACACUGUUUGGACCUCGAGUUAAAAUGGGGUAUAACAAAGGUGAAGCUGUUUUUUGUUCCAAGGCUUCUCUUCUUUUCCUUACAAAUUGCAAUAAUUCUUUCCUAAUAACAUUUGUAGCUCUUAUUGCCUUGUAAAAUGUUGUACCAGGUAAAUUUAGAGGGAUGGCAUAGAGUCCUUUCAAGAAAAUGUUGAACUGUACAGAAAGCCUUUCAACAUCAUUAUGGUCUUCAAUGCUCAUGAAUAAUUGACAUGCCACUUUGAAACUGUAUAAUUUGACCAAUGGAAAUACCUUCAUCUAAUCUUUACCUAAACAAAUAUAGACCAGUACAGAAAAAAGGUUAAAUACAACAAUGAGUAGAAGUUAUUAUCGUAUUACUUCCUCCGUUUCAAAAAGAGUGACCUAGUUUGACUUGGCACGUAGUUUAAGAAAAUAUAGAAGACUUUUGAAUUUUGUGGUCCUAAAUUAAAGUUAUGUAAAAUGUACAAAAUUGUCCUUUAAUCUUGUGGCUUUAAACAUGCCGCGUGGAAAAAUAUUAAUAAAAAGGAAAAUAGGUCAUUUUUUUUAAACAUACUAAAAAGGAAAGUAGGCCAUUUGAAACAGAGGGAGUAUAACUUUUAGGACCCAUUUGGUAGGCGGUAUAUAUUAAUUAGAAUAGUCUUUGGAUUAAAAUUUAGUCCAACAGAAUCAUUGUUUGUUUAUUUUAUUUUAUAACUUAAUUCAUGGAUUAGUUAUACCUCAUAUGAGGUCUUAUUUUAUCCCUAUAAAAGGGAGAGAUAACUAAUCAAAGGUUUAACAAUCUUUGGAUAAGACCCCUAAAUUACUAAAUUAUCCUCCAAUUCUUUUUCUUAAAUUUCUUUUAUAAUUUAAUGUCCUUUUCUUAUUUAUAUUGGAAUGAUUAUAAAUGUUCUUUUUAUUCUCCAAAUUCAUAUAAUUUAAUUUGAUGAUUUCACAAUCUCAUAUUUUUUUCUCCGUGUUUGAUUUGCUAUAUAUUGGGUUGCUUUUUAAAAAAAAAAAUGUAGUUCGUCAAUUGACCACUGAACUAUUUUUAUUGUAAUAAGCUUCGGGUAUUUGAACAAUUUUAGUAGCCUUCUAUGUGAAGUUUAAGGUAUAUUUGAUCAAAUAAAAAAUUAGAAAUACACCAUGCUAUCAAGGAUAUCCGUAGUGUCACAUCACAUCUCAAAAUUAUUACUGAUUUUUUUAAAAAUAUAUAUAUAUUUUAGUAUUUAACUUGACUAGUUAAAUGAAAUAGAAAAUCCUACAAGAGAAGAUUUCUAGUCUGUUUGGAAGGACACCCUGGUAAUUGGAUUUGGUGUAAUUGGGUGUAAUUACACUGUCUUUCCUGUUUGGUUGGACAAGUAAUUAUUGGUGUAAUUGGCAGGGGAUAAUUAUACUCUCCAAUUCACAGCCUUACAUGGUGUAAUUACCAGCUGAUUACUUUAAAUUUCUUUUUAUUUUUUAAUUUUUUUACUUCUAUUAUUUUAAGUUCUUUUUUUUUUUUAUUAUUCUAAAAUUUUCUAAAAGUUUUUAUUUUAUUUUAUAUUAUUAUAUUUUAUUUUCUUCUUGUUCUCAACCUUGCUUCAUGUGAUUCUAUGCAAUUUUUUCGUAUUAUCUAUUUCUUUAUGCCAUGUUUAUUUUCUCAUUAACAUAAUUCUAUUAGUAUUCUAAUUUUUAACUUAAAAUAGAAUUUAUUGUUAAGUAAGGUUAUAGACUUACGUUUUUUUAAAAAUAAAUAAAAAUAAAUCAUAUUUAUGUAUGAUAUGUUGAAAUUUGCGAUAAGAGUAUUAUGUUUAUUUUUUUGUUUUGAAUUUAUAACUUAUGUUAUAUUUUCAGUUUCAUCUGUUUUAGUAAUAUUGAAUUCACAUUGCAAGUCAUUUUUUAAUUAGACCUGAUAGAUUAUCUUUUUGUCAAACAUUUUAAUAAUUUAUGACAUUUUUUUUAUAUAUUAAUCUUUUUAUCAAACAUGUAUUUCACGAUGUUAGUAGAAACUUCAUACUUUUAGUUUUUAUGAUCAAUUCAAUUGAAAUAUAUUAAUUUGAAAAAAUAUAAAUCAAUUAUUUUUUCAUAAUAUUAGUUAAGAACAUAUGUUUAUUAAUUAAUAUAUUUUCAAAAAUACAUAUAUCUUAAAUAUUUAAUUUAAUAUCAUUUAUAUAGCUUCUUAUUUGUCUAGUAUAAAUUUUAAAUAAUUAAUUUUUAUUUUUAAAUUUAAUAUAGUAUUAUGAUUGCUAUUGUGCAUCCAAACAGAACAUGUGUAAUUACACUGUGACAUCCAAACAUGACAUGUGUAGUUACAAUAUAAUUACACUAUGACAACCAAAUAUGUCAGUGUAAUUAUUAGAUUGUGUAAUUAUUACGUUGGUAAUUACUACCCUAGUAAUUACACCAAUUCCAAUUAUUAUGUGGCUUUCCAAAUAGGCCUGUAGAGUUUUAUCCUCAAAUAAUUUAAGUGAGAAAAUAUCAAACAUAGCGAUAAAAUUAUUUUUCUCCUACCUAGUUAGAAGGCCACAAAAAAAUAAUACUAACCGUUAAUUAUCUACAUUGACCCAAUUUCAUGAAAUAGGAAAUUCCAUACUAACUCAAGGAUAUAUGAAGUUUUUUGUAGAGUUUUACACAAGAUUAGAUAGAAAGCAACGAACCAAACACUCGAUAAAAAAUAAUCUCUACAUUACUAAAUUAUGCAUUACUAAUCACUGCAUUACUAAUCCUACAUUAUGCAUCUUUUUACCAAACAACCCCUUAAUUUUAUAUUCCAUGCUCCAAGUUACUGUGCAUACUAUUAUUAAUAUUUAGAAACUCAAAAUACAAUCAAAAUGCAUUAUAAGUUGUUACUUUUUUUAUUCUUUAAUAAUUUAUGUGAAUCUAUGCAACUUGAUACAAAAUUUAAGAAAGAAAGAUUUUAUUUUGUUUGAACUUGUGGUUAUAUACAUGUCAUAAUAUUUAUAAUCACUACUAAAAUUUGUGAUCUUAAAUAUGUUAUAACAUUCUCUAUUUGAUUACUUUAAUACUUGCUUAAAUAUGGUGUUAGAAUUGACUAGACUCUUGCUGAUUCUCAAGUCUCUUCGGUACGAUAUCCGAUCUAAAUCAAUUUGUACUACUUGGACGACCAUGUCACUUGUGUGUGUUGUGAGUCGCCCCAUCAGUUUCCACAAAAAAAUGUACUCUAUUUAUUUCAAUUUAUCUGAACUUAUGCAACUCAAUACAAAAGUUUAAGAAAAAAGGAGUUAUUUUUAUCACUUUUAAUCUUAAAUAUGUUAUAAUAUAAUUAUGAGACUAUAGACUGUUAAAACUUGUUAUCUUAAAUAUAUUAUAUAAUAUUUGUAUGGUUACUAGAAGUUUGAUGUUGAGGAUUAAUAAGAAGUUUUAUUUAAAUUAUUUUCAAAUUGGAAAAGGACCUUUUUUAAAAAUUGACUAAAAGGGAAUAAAGUCGAAUAAAUUGAAACUGAGAAAUAUAUAUAUAUAUUCUUUUCAAUCACAAACCAUACGCCAAAACAUACACAACUUCAAUUUAGGGAAAAGUGGAGCAAUAAACUAAGAACGAGCAAGUUUGAACUCCCAAUCUAAGACUUGACCCCAACUCUGAUCCAUGACCUGACUUUUUCCUUGCCGAAGACCCGAGACAUGACCCCGAACCCGACUCGAGACUUGACUCUCGACUUCAACUCCAACCACCAAUCGCCAACCUAGGACUUGGGAAUCUGACCAUAAGUCAGGACCCAAAUCUUGACCGCAAUUCAAGGUCCCUAGCCCAUCCUCGAUAUAUAUUCCUGACCUGAGACCUAACUCCAAAUCUAACUCGAGAGUUGACUUUUGAGCCUAACUCAAGACUAGAGAUGCAACUCUGGAACCUAGUUUGGGACCCAUUCCUAAGGUCCUGACAUGUUGUCCAUACCAUGGACCACUCGAGAUUUGACCCAGGGUCUACUACCAAGACUUGACCCUAACCCUUAACCUGAGACACGAUUUGUGAAUUGACUUCGACUCGAGAAUCGACUCUCAACCCAAUCCCCCCAACCCACCCAAGACUCAAAAUCCAGACCCGAAUCUGGUCCUGAUCCCAACCAUGACCCUACUCCUCGUGACUCUUGACCUCGACCUGGGAUGCGACUCUUUUUCCUGAUCGAGGUCGAUACGUUUGGUCGGGGUCAAGUCAGAUCUUGGUGUAUUGGAACUAAUGUAAAAUAGCUUAAUUGUUGAUUAGUAGUUCAAAUUGUUCAUUAGUCAGUUAGUUAGUUGUAGCAGUGCCAACUGGCCUCUCUAUGGCAUGUACAUAUAGUGAGGUAUCUCACAAUUUUGAAUUGAUUCGAUCAUAAUGAAAAUUUCCCAAAUCUGAUUCUCUUUGCCAAGUUACAAUAUGGUAUCAAAGCACUGAAUCUCUGUAAUUCAGAUUCACUGUUUUUCGAUCCUGAGCUUUUGCCAUUAUCAAAGCUUGAAGAAAAUGGUGGAAACAACAUCAGAACGAAACGCAACUGGAAUUUCAGCUGACACUAUCGACGGAAUCGAAAAGAAUCGCAAUCAUCCUUUAUAUAUUCAUCCAUCAGAUACUCCGGGUAGUGUAUUGACUUCAAUUCAACUCACAGGGACUGAAAACUACUCACUAUGGAGUAGAUCUAUGAUGAUAAAUCUUAGGGAAAAAAGCAAGCUGGGUUUUGUGCUUGGAACAUGCCGAAAAUCAGAUUAUAAGCUAAAAUUGGAAGAACAAUGGGAGAAAUGCAAUGCAUUCGUGUUAACAUGGAUCAUGAAUACGGUAUCCAAGGAGCUAUUAAGUGGUAUCGUGUAUGCUUCAGAUGCAGCGAUGGUUUGGGGAGAUUUGAAUGAGCGAUUCAACAAAGUAGAUGGAUCUAGAAGUUAUCAACUUCAUCGUGAUAUUUGCACUCUCAGUCAAGGUAAUUUGACAGAUUCAGGAUGCUUUACUAAAUUGCGUCUCUUAUGGGAUGAAUUCGAUGCACUUGUGCCUCCACCUAGUUGUAGCUGUGAUAAAUCUAGGUCGAAUGUUGAUCACUUACACUGUCUACGAUUGUUUGCUUUUCUGAUGGGACUAAAUGAGACAUAUAGUCAUGCUCGUAGCCAAAUUUUGAUGAUGAAUCCUAUGCCCAGUGUGAGCAAAGCUUAUGUUAUGAUAGUUGCUGAUGAAAGCCAGCGUGUAACAGCUGGAUCUAGAAUUAAUAGUGAUCUCAACGAUUCUAUGGCACUGUAUGCUGAAAGAGGAAAAUGUGUCCAUCACUCUAAUGAGUCUAUGGCUUUGUAUGUUGGACGUGGUGGAUACACAAACGCUGGAGCUGGAAACAAUUACAAUAAUCCUAAUCCUAGGCAGAAGAAGAAUUGGCAUUUGUUUUGUGAUUACUGCAAGCUACAUGGACACACUAAGGAUAUAUGUUUUCGACUAAUUGGAUAUCCAACUGAUUGGAAAUUUAAGAAGAAAUUUGGACCAGGGGGGUCAAGUUCAGGUACAGGGAAUGCAGGAAGAGGUAUGGCUAACCAUGCAUAUGCUGACAGGGAUAUUAGAGAUGAUUUUGGGUUCAUGAAUCAUGGAUCAAUCAUUAAACAACAACUCAAGAAGAAACAUUGAUAGUACUGUCAAGGAGAAUACAAUGGAUCAUGUAGCAAAUACUGCUAUGGCAAAUACUGCAAGUGCUCAUAUUGCAGGCAUUCCUAUUACUAUUUUUUCAUCAACAAAUUGUAGUAAUAUGCCAGAUUGUAAUGCAGAAUGGAUAGUUGAUUCUGGAGCGACAUGUCAUAUGACCUCUAAUAUUAAUACAUUAGAUGAAGUAUUAAGUUCCAGUGCAGUUUUAGAUAGGAAGAUACAUCUUCCAAAUAGGCAGAUUACCUCAGAUAAUUGUACUGGUAAUUACAGGCUACCAAGUGGUGAUGUAUUAAGUAAUGUGUUGGUAGUUCCUGAGUUCAAAUUUGAUCUACUCUCAGUGUCACAAUUAACCAGACAAUUGAACUGUUUUGUGACUUUUUUUCCUGAGUUUUGUGUAUUUCAGGACCUCUUCAAUAGGAAGGUGAAGUAGACUGGUAAGGAGAGGGAUGGCCUUUAUUACUUCCCCAGACAUCUUUCAGAAAUGGUCAAGCAUGUAGAGCAAAGUUUGCUGACACAAGCAGAGAAGUUAGAAGGCAUUACAUGGCAUAACAGGCUAGGCCAUCCUUCAGUAAAGGUGUUGAAGUAUUUUUCUUUACUUAGAAAAUCUACAGAUGAAGAAGCUUGUAAUAAAUGUCCAGUUUGUCCCUUAGCUAAGCAGACUAGACUUCCUUUCUCCUCAAGUUUGUCUAGAUCUUGUGCUGUUUUUUACUUACUCCACAUGGAUGUAUGGGGUCCAUACAGACACCCCACUCAUGCUGGUUAUAGAUUUUUUUUGACAAUUGUUGAUGAUCACUCAAGGAUGACUUGGUUGUUUCUGAUGAAGUUUAAGAGUGAUGUCUUUUCCACAUUGAAAUGCUUCUUUACUUUGAUCACUAAUCAGUUUAAUAAGACUGUUAAGAAGGUUAGAUCAGAUAAUGAGACUGAAUUCUUUAAUAAGGAUUGUAGAUCAUUCCUUGAAUCCUUGGGAAUUAUUCAUGAAAGCAGUUGUCCACACACCCCUCAACAGAAUGAGGUGGUUGAAAGGAAGCACAUGCAUAUUCUUGAGGUAGCCAGGGCUCUGAAGUUUACAGGUUCUAUACCAACACGAUUUUGGGGUGAAUGCGUAUUGUCUGUUGUUUACUUGAUCAAUAGGAUGCCAACUCAUACAUUGGAUGGUCAGUCACCAUAUGUUGUUUUCCAUGGACAUCAGCCUAUUUUAACACAUUUAAGGACCAUUGGUUGUUUGUGUUUUGUGACCAAUCUCAUCAAAGAUGAUAAGUUUUCUCCUAGGUCUGAAGCUUGUGUAUUGCUGGGAUAUUCAUCCACUCAAAAGGGCUACAUUGUGUAUAGUUUGACUCAUAGAAAGUUGUUAGUCAGUCGAGAUGUCAUCUUCAAAGAGGACAUUUUUCCAUUUGAUGUACAACAUAAAAAACCUCAUGCACCAAUAUUCAAUCAUACUCCCAUUCCAGAGUCAUAUGAUUCAGAAGUCCCUAGUCCUGUAUUUACAGGACAUACUGAAGAGAUAGAGAAUGCUGAGAUUCCCCCUGAAUUAGUUUUGAAUGAAACUGACAGUAUUAAUUUUGAAGAUACUCACGGAGGUGUUGAUGUAGUUGAUGCUGGUGUUGUAAAUGAAACUUUUCCUAAUACAGUGGAAGCUGAGCAGCAUUCUAGGAAGUCCACCAGAUCUUCUCAUCCUCCAAUAUGGUUGAAGGAUUUUGUUACUGCUGCCAUUGACUCUGCUCAUCCUUAUUCAAUAUCUAAAUUUCUUUCCUAUCAGCACUUGUCUCCCAACUAUCAAGCAUUUCUUAGCAAGUUUUCUACAGAAGUUGAGCCUAGAUGUUAUGAAGAAGCUAUCAAAGAUCCUAAAUGGGUGGUGGCUAUGCAGCAGGAGAUCAAUGCAUUAGAAGAGAAUGAAACCUGGCAGAUUGUGAAGUUGCCUCCCAAGAAGUCUGCUAUAAGAUGUAAAUGGGUGUUUAAAAUUAAAUACAAAGCAAGUGGUGAGAUUGACAGGUUCAAGGCAAGACUUGUGGAAAAAGGGUACAGUCAGACAAAAGGUAUUGAUUAUCAAGAAACAUUUGCUCCUGUAGUUAAAAUGGUUACUGUGAGAUCAAUCAUAACUUUAGCUGCAGUUGAGAAUUGGAAAAUAUUCCAAAUGGAUGUGUUUAAUGCUUUUUUACAAGGUGAUCUAUUUGAGGAAGUGUAUAUGGAGUUGCCUAAGGGUUUUGUCAGUACAAACAAGCAACAUGUCUGUAAACUUGUGAAUUAUAUGGGCUCAAGCAAGCUUCUAGGCAAUGGAAUGCUAAACUCACUGAAGCUCUUUGUAAUUCAGGCUAUACUCAAAGUCAUUUAGACUAUUCAUUGUUCACCAAGAAAAGUUCAAUUGGAUUGGUUAUCUUUUUGGUAUAUGUUGAUGAUUUAUUGAUCACAGGAAGUGAUCCUGUUUUGGUUCAAGAUACCAAGCAAGUGUUGCACAACCACUUCAAGAUAAAGGACUUAGGUGAACUCAAGUAUUUCCUAGGCAUAUAAUUCUGUAGAUCAGCAUCUGGUAUAGUUAGGGGUGUUCAUGGUUUGGAUAAAAACCGAUCCAAAUCGAAAAACCAAACCAAACCGAUUAAAUGAACCGAUUUUAAUUUGGGGUUUUGGUUUGGUUUGGUUUUAGAUUGUUAAGAACCGAUAGUAUUUGGUUUGGUUAUGGUUUUGUUCGGAAAAAAUUGAAGAAAUAACCGAACCGAACCAACAAGUUAUAUUACAUAAAUUUUAUUAUUAUACAUACAUAAUAUAUUAUAUUCAUAAACUAAUUUAAAGAUUUUAUAUAUGUUUCAUCAAAUUUAUUUAUAAUUUACUUAUGAAAGAAAAAAUGUCCAAGGUGAGAACUAUUUUUCUUAUUGGUUUCAUGUAUAUGAGUGUCUAUGGAAAUUCUUUGUGGAACUGAAAAUGUCAUUGUCUCUUUCUUCUAUGCCAAAAUAGUGAAUUUUGAAGUUUUGUUUAGUAGAUUCAAUGAUCGAAAGUUCUAUAAUGCCAGUCAUUAUAACUAUUUUUUUUGUUUGAAUGGAUUGUUGUCACUUUUUCUACGUUUUGAAUGAAUUGUUUCUUUUAUUUUUAUGUAUGGUUAAUAACCGAAUAACCGAACCAAACCAAACCAAAACCGAAAACAACCAAACCGAUAAAUGUAUAUUAUAUUUGGUUUGGUUUGGUUUUGAUAAUUUUAAAACCGAUUAAGUUGGUUUGAUUUGGUUUUGAUCAAUAACCGACCCAAACCAAACCGUGAACACCCCUAGGUAUAGUGAUGACUCAGAGGAAGUAUGCAUUGGAGUUGAUUUCUGAAGCUGGCCUUGCAGGUGCACAACCUGUUUCCACACCAUUAGAGUGUAAUCCUAAGCUCACUUCAGUUGAGUUUGACAGCACUGGUACUGACCCAUUGUUUCAAGAUGUUACCAGAUAUCAAAGACUAGUUGGGAAGUUGCUUUACUUAACUAAUACAAGGCCUGAUAUUGCUUUUACUGUCCAAACAUUAAGUCAAUAUAUGCAACAACCUAAAGCUUCUCAUUGGAAUGCAGCAUUAAGGGUGAUCAAAUACAUCAAAGGUAAUCCAGGAUUAGGUUUACUCAUGAGUUCCCAUAAAAACACCACAUUAACUGGAUACUGUGAUGCUGACUGGGCAGCUUGUCUUAGCACCAGGAAGUCUGUUAGUGGAUACUUGUUGAAGUUUGGGGAUUCUUUGAUCUCUUGGAAAUCCAAGAAAUAGAACACUGUGUCUAGAAGCUCUGCAGAGGCAGAAUACAGAAGUUUAGCCACUCUUACUACAGAAGUGGUUUGGGUUACAGGUCUGUUUAAGGAGCUUGAGGUAGCAUUACACACCCCCAGUAACAUUCAUUGUGAUAGCAAGGCUGCUAUACAGAUUGCUGCAAAUCCUGUUUUCCAUGAAUGGACCAAACACAUCGAGAUUGAUUGUCAUUUUAUUCGAGAAAAAAAUCAGCAAGGUUUAAUUCAUACUAGCUACAUCAACACAAAAGAUCAACAGACAGAUUUGUUCACUAAGGCGCUUGGUCGAUCUCAACAUGAUUUCCUUUUGGCCAAGCUUGGAGUACUGAAUCUAUUCAUUACAUUCAGCUUGAGGGAGGGUAUUGGAACUAAUGUAAAAUAGCUUAAUUGUUGAUUAGUAGUUUAAAUUGUUCAUUAGUCAGUUAGUUAGUUAUAUUUGUUCAUUAGUCAGUUAGUUAAUUGUAGCAGUGACAGCUGGCCUCUCUGUGGCAUGUACAUAUAGUGAGGUAUCUCACAAUUUUGAAUUGAUUCGAUCAUAAUGAAAAUUUCCCAAAUCUGAUUCUCUCUGCCAAGUUACAAUAUGGUGAAUUAUACUUUUUACUUCGAAUAUUAAUGCACUUAGGUUGCUUAAUAUUUCCCCACUCAAUUAUUUUGAAAACUAAUGUAUUUUAUACUGCUGAGUAAAUCUGUAUUAAGACGAAAAUACUGCAAAGUGUUACCUUGCCAAUAGUUCAUAAAAUGGUGGUGGACAACAAGUUGCAUGGCUUUGAUAUAGAGUCUGGAAAAAGCAUCAGGGCUAACAAAAGAAGAAAGCAUUUUCUUCAUGAUCUUUGCUUCUUCUCCAACAGAAUUAGCCAAACAAGGUCCUAGAAGUUUUUUAACAGUUACUGGCCACCAAAGAAUGACUUGUUUGUUUUCAUUGCUAAACAAGAACUUAUUCCCACUUGCACCACCCAAUACCACCACAGUCUCUCCCAUUAACGAAGUUUUGAAGAUUUUAGACUUGUAUUUUUUCUUACGAAUUUCUCUGGCUUUCCUUCCUUGUUCGCCUUGAGAAACUCUAGUGUUUCGCCUAGAAAUGGCCAUCCACAACUUCCAGGAGGAUAAUUCAAUCUCUUUCUUCUCAUCACAAAGAAAAUUAUGAUGAAUAAUACUAAUGCCAAUAUCAAAACAGUCGCAGGAAUUUCCAUAUCAAUGCACUCUGAUUUCUCUUUAAUUUUUUGUUGCUUGAAUAAAUAUAUGUAUACUUCCUCUCUCCUAAUUACGUGGUCUAUAUAAAUAUACUCCUCUCUCCUAUCUUUCGUUUUUAUAUCAUCAAAGGUGAGCAAAUUUGUGUCUAAUCAUUGACGAAACAAAUCUAUAUAUAUAUAUAUAUAUAUAAAGCUAGAUAAUAAAAAAAUGAUGUGACAUCUCUCCAUGGCCAAGUAUCCUAUUUAUCUUUUUUGUGUUUUUUUGACAUUUUCUUUAUUUUUUUUCAAUUAUUUUAUUUUAUAAAAUCAUCUCUUUAAUUCAUACCUCUUCAAUUACAUAAAUUCAAAUCUUAAUUAAUUAAGUAAUGUCUAUAACUCCUAACCUUUCAUAUUCAUAACCUUCAAAUUAUUUAAUUUAUAAAUUUAUAACUCCUUAAAAUCACACUUAUAAAAAUCUAUUUUGAGAAAUAUAUGAUCAUUAUUUUAUUUUCAUUUUUCUAUUCUUCAUCUUUUGUAUCUUUGGUUGAUCAUUUUUUUUGUCUUCUUUGAUCUGAUUUUGCAGGAGAGAGAUGUAUAAUGAAGAAUGUUAGAUAUUUUUGCAUAGUUUGAUUUUACAAGGUAAAAUGAUUUAACAUGUAUAAUAUAAUUAUCUCAUUUUUUCUAUUGUGACUAUAUAUUUAAUUAUAGUAUUAUUUUUGUUCUUAAUUAUAUGAAUCAUGAAUCUUUUUUUAGAAAAAAUAAUUUGAUUUUCUCUCUGGGCUUCUCUUUGUAGUCUCUAGAGAAUAUUAAUGUUAGACAACCUUACAUAGUUUGAUUUUACGAUAAAAAAAAGAAGUAAUGUGACACCUCUCAAUGACGAAGUGCUGUUGUAACUAUAUAUUUAAUUAUAAUAUUAUUUUUAUUCUUAAUUAUAUGAAUCAUGAAUCUUUUUUUUUUAAAAAUAAUUUGAUUUUCUCUCUUUGCUUCUCUUUGUAGUUUCUAGAGAAUAUUAAUGUUAGAAACCUUACAUAUUUUGAUUUUACGAUUAAAAAAGAAGUAAUGUGACACCUCUCAAUGACUAAGAAUCCUAUUUAUGUUUAUUUGUGAUUUUUUUUUAUAUUCAUCAUCUCUCUUUCAUUUUUUUUCUCAUUACGCUAUAACUUACUUUAAUAUAUUUGUAAUGCAGAAAAACGACACUCUAUUACCAGAAAAUGUAUGACUAAUAUUAGAGUGCAUAAGACAUCUGUUUGAGGAGGAUUUGCAUUUGUUGGAAUAGAGAAAAUUCGCCAGUAAUGUGUGAUCACUAAAAAUGAUAGUAUAAAAGAGAGAAAUUGACCAUCAAAUAGUAAAUGAGAGAUGAGAGGAGUAAAUUACUGAUUGCUAUUUAAUUAUUUUGGUAAAUCAAACGCAUAUGCAAGAAGGUGUUCCUGUAGGCACACCCACCUAUUGAUAACAGUUUUAUGCCUAGCCUCAAAAGUUCAUUUUAUAUGGAUUGCACCUAACGUUGUAUUAUUCAUAUUAAUAUGAUUGUUUUUAAUCAUUUAUAUGUCUAAGAGUCGUUUCUUUAAAAUCUAUACUGUAAUUCUUAUAUUAAUUUUGUAAUGAUUAGUUUUUCUGUUAUUUAUUUUUCCCAUUCCUGACUACAUUGAUUACUUGCAUUUUCUCAAAUUAAAUUAUAAUUAAUGAGCAAUAAUGUUUUUACUUCUUCAUAUGUUACAAUAUGCUUUUAUGCAUUGUUUCUUGAUUUUUUUUUUUUUUACAUUUUAUAUUGAGAUUUGGAAAUAUAUUUUGAUUAUUUAGAAGUUAAAAAAUGAAAAAGAAGAGUAUGAUUUAUUUAUUUUUUAAAGAGAAAAUAUGAUUUAAUAUUUUUUAAAAGAGAAAAUAUGAUUUAAUAUUUUUUAAAAGAGAAAAUAUGAUUUAAUAUUUUUUAAAAGAGAAAAUAUGAUUUAAUAUUUUUUAAAAGAGAAAAUGAGUGAUUAUGUCGGAAAGUAAGAGACGGAAAAAGCGUUAAAGAUAAAAAAAAAAUGUUCAAUUUGUCAUACAUAUCCCUACAUAUACAGAUACUUACAGAAAUUGUUUGAUUUUUUUUGAACUCCUUCAAUUUUCUUUCUUUACCUUCUUUUAUGAAAAAAAUGAAAAUAUUGUUUCACUUAUAUUAGAUUAUAUAUGUACAAGUUUUAUAGAAGACUCUAAACUCUCCAGUAAUGAAAAUAAUUAUAUAAAAAAUGUAUUUUAAUAAUAUAAUUGAUUAAAGUUUUAAAAUAUUUUAUUAGAAAUUUAAUAUAAAAAAAAUCUAAGCGCGAAGCGCGAAUUUAUUCACUAGUUUAAUAUAUAAUACAUAAUAAUUGACAUACUGUCAGUCAUAGAGACAGAAAAGGGCCACGGUUGGUGAAGGAGAAUAUUUUAUGAUCACUAAAAAGUAGUAGGUAAUAAUUGUUACAGUAUUUCAGUUCAAGUAAAUUAAUCAAAGUAUAUUUCAAAUAAACGUGCAUAUUUGUCAAUUUGCAAAGAGUUAAAAGGACCUACUACCUAUCAAAUUUAACGUUUUUAAGUCUACUUUUCCAUAUAAUUAUAAACCUCUCUUCAAUACACUUUUGGAGAAAAAUGUUAGGUGUAUUUUAGCACCGACCUAUACAAUAAUUGAGUGCGUAUAUACGUAAGAUGGACCCAUUCAAAAUGAAUGUACCUAGAAAUUAUGAAUUGUUGACAGCAUAGUCGGACGUGCAUUAAGGGAAUAAAGCAUCAGCUAGCAUGAGUUAUAUGUAAAAAAUAAUUUUAAUGUACUAGUAUCUGGCGUACAUUAAUUACAUGUAUAUUUCACAAUGAUGAGCAUGAACUAUUAAAAAAUCACAUAAUUUAAAAAAAAAAUAGCAUUUGAAUUGUAAUAAAAAUAUGAAAAAGUAAAAUGACAAAUGUUGAUAGUAUAUAGUUAACUCAAGAGGAGAAACCUUUUUUACAUUUAGACCUCCUCAUAUUAUAAUUUCGAUAUAUAAGUUUUAUAUUUGUUUUAGAAGACAAAAUAAAGUAGCAAAAACAAACAUAGAGGUGCACUGCCUUAUGAUUAGCUUUCAUAGAAUGUCUCUCUUGUCUCAGAAUAGAUGUCUCAUAGAGUAAAGUCAAAAUGUUGAAAUUAAAUUUAUGUUUUUAAUUAAUCUAUUUGUCCUUAAUUUGUUGUAAUACUUGACCUUUCAAUUUUGUAAGUGAAUCUUCAUAUUCUAAAGUUAUCUUCAUUAUUAAUAAUUACACUUUUUGCACCUUAAAUUUUAAAUAUUUGUAAAGAAUUAUUCUUACAUGUGCUUGUGGAUAAAAUAUAUAUUUUUUGGAUAGUUUUUAUUAAAAUUAUCAUGAGAUUCAAAUCCCAAAGUAAAAAAAGGCGAUAUACCAAAAUGCUUAAGAAGUAAGAAGAUCUUUUAACCUCGACCCAGAUAUUACUCCUAUUAUACUUUUGUUACAUGAAAUAUUAAUAUUUUAAUUAUAUAAUGAUAUAAUUUAAAUACCAAAAGUUGCACUUUAAUUCUUUAGUUAGUACCAUAUAAUUAAGUUUCGUUAGUUAUAAAUUUGAAUUACUUAAUAAAUUACAUUUUACUUAAUGAGAAGGACAAUUUCAUCUUCUUCUAAUUAUUGUCAUCACUUUAACUUCUUGAAAUGUGUAUUUUGUAACUGUAAGAAGCACAAGAUCUGAUCUAGUUGUUUUGAAGAAUGUCAAAGAGUCAAGUUGCAUAGAACAGGUCGUAUCAACAUGUUCCAGCUAAUCCAAUUCUAACUGGGAAAAGGUUUUUGGAAAUAAAAGUGUGGAAAUAAAAGUGGCUUAUAGUUUAUUAGGAGGAGUCCUACAUAAAGCAGGAAUUCUACACGUGAGCUGUGGAUAAAGGAAGCAGAGCACUAGUAGGAUUUCUAGUUGAGAUAAUGCUUUGAGGCGGUGAAGACAAAGUUGAGUUGAAGAAAACUUGCUGGAGUUCUGAUCUAUAAAUAGGGGGUUAUUUUCAUCAGAAAAAUUUGCGCACUCACAUAGAGAGAACAUCAAAACACGAUCAAAGAAGUUGAGAAAGUUUUGUACUUUAUUUUGGGGAGUGCUGCGAGGUUGAGAGAAAAGAUUGUAAGGUUGUAGACAAGAAGUUUUUGUUUACAAUCAGAGUUGUGAGAGUAGAUAUUGUUCUACAAGUUUAAGAACUUGAAGAACGUUAGAAGAUAUAAAACCUGGGGGUUUUUUGUCUUGAGGUAGAUAGGAAUUAGAGUUUAUAAUUUCUUAGGUUACAUUGUGUUGUAAUCAUUGUAGUAUUUGAAGGUUUAUAAAUAAUACAAAGAAUUAUACAAAUUUGUUUAUUGGUAAAACUUCAAAUAAAAGGAACAAGCAGUUAGUAUGUGUUCCUUUGAAGAAAUCAGAAGGGUAGAAUCCAACAAGUGGUAUCAGAGCAGGUUAUCUUAAUCAAGAGUCUAAUAACUCAAGAUAAAAGAUCACUAUGAGUUCUGCACCUCCUCUCGGACAUGGUCAAGGACAACAUAUUAACAGACCACCCUUGUUCAACGGACAAUAUUAUUCAUGGUGGAAAGCUAGGAUGGAAGACUUCAUUCAAGCUGAAGACUAUGAAUUAUGGGUAAGAGUUACUGAUGGACCUUUGAUACCAACUAUUAAAGACAGCGAAGGCAAAUAUAUUCCCAAGCCUAAAGCUCAAUAUGGAGAUGCCGAUUACAAGACGCUAGGGAAGAAUGUCAAAGCUAAAUGUAUCUUGGUAUGUGGACUAGGACCGAAUGAAUUCAAUCGAAUCUCUGCAUGCACUUCUGCUAAACAAAUCUGGGACACGCUGCAAAACGCACAUGAAGGUACUACUCAGGUUCAAAAGUUCAAGAUCGCUAAACUAAGCACGGAAUAUGAGUCCUUCAAGAUGAAAAAUGGAGAAUCACUUCAGGAUAUGAUUACUAGGUUCACUACCGUAAUAAACGAACUAAACUCGCUAGGAAAGAUAUACACUACAGAGGAACAAGUAGAUAAGAUUCUCAGAACUCUACCAAGGUCAUGGGAAAUCAAAGUAACAGCAAUAAGGGAAGCAAAAGAUCUAACAAAUAUGACUCUAGAUGAAUUGGUAAGAAACUUAAAAACUUACGAGAUGAAUGUUGAAAGCACCAAAAGAAGUGACGGCAAUAAAGAAAAUAAUCUUGCUCUCAAGGUCACUGAUGAAAACGAUGAAUCAGAUCUAGAUAAUGAAGAUAUAGCCUUGAUAAGCAGGAACUUCAAGAAGUUCUUUAAAAAUGGUAUGAAUCUUGGAAAGAAAUCUGCACCCACCAAGGAAAGAAACGCAGAAAAGAGUCAAAUCGGUGGAUGUUACAAAUGCAGUAAAACUGAUCAUCAAAUUAAAGACUAUCCUAUGUGGGAAGUAGAAUGGAAAAAGGAAAGGGCUGAAAAAGAAAAAAAGGAACUCGCCAAUAAAAGGAAAGGGAAGGAAGAGAGAAAAAUCAAGCUAUGUAUGCUGGCUGGGGAACAAGUUCAGAUGACGCUGAUGAAGAAGAGGACAUUGCUUUAAUGGCCAUAGAAGACUCAGAACAUGAAUCUGAUUCUGAAAACGAAGAAAAUCAGGUAAAUCUCUCUGAUCUAAAGGACAGAUUAAGUUCAUUCUCUAAGAAAAAACUUUCCUCAUUCAUGCUAACUCUCAUAGGAACUAUACAAGAAUUAAGUAGUGAAAAGAGUCAACUGUUAAGUGCCAUUACUAGUUUAAAAUUCGAGUAUAUCGAUCUUGAAAAAUCAAACAGUGAUCUAAAAGAGAAAAAUAAACUUCCAUCUGAAAAGGUGAAACAAGUCGAGACUUAUGACAUAUCAUUAAAGGCUGAAUCCUUGAACCAAAAUAUACUGGAUAGAAGGAGUUCUUGUGAAUAGGAAGUCAUAAAAAUAAAAAGAGAAUUACUAGCAGAAAAGGAGAAAUCCAGGAGAAUGAGUCUUGAACUAGUUAAAACAAAAAACGAGGUUAAUCAAGCGAACAAAUGGACAAAGUCGUCUAUGAUUGUGAAACAAUUGGGGAAAAAACACUAGGAACAAUAGAGGUGGCAUAGGAUAUGAAAAAGAAUCGAUCAAAGAAUUCCCUACAUUCUGCUCAUUAUGUGGAAAAAUAGGCCAUUUGAAGAAUACAUGUCAUAGAAACAAAGUUAUUUCUAACAAAAACAAUGGAAGAGACUUUAACCACCAAUUAAGGAACACGUUUGCUUCAGAAGCAAAACAUCUUCCAAACUGGGCAAACAAGGAUUUAAUUCAUCCUUUUUAUAAUAAGAAAGGACCCAAGUUAAUCUGGGUGCCUAAAACUAACCUCUGAAUUUUCUUUCAGGAACAAGUGAAGGGAAGCAAGCAAAAUUGGUAUAUGGACAGCGCUUGCUCAAGGCACAUGACAGGAGAUAGAACAAAAUUCCUUUCACUUGAAGAAAAGAACGGUGGACUGGUAGCUUUUGGUGGGGGAAAAAAGGGAUAGAUUAAAGGCAUUGGAGCAAUUGGGAUGACAUGUGAAUAUUUAAUCGAAAAAGUGUACCAUGUUGAAGGUCUGAAGCACAAUCUUCUCAGCAUCUCUCAACUUUGCGACAAAGGAAACAAGGUAAUAUUUCAUUCCACUGGUGUAGAGGUACUCAAUCUAACAACAGGAGAUAUAGUUCUAACGGGACAAAGGAACAAACAUGUUUAUACUGUAGAUACCUCUAAACUCUCUACAGAAAAAUUCAUGUGUCUAAGUGUAAUGGAAAAAGAUCCUCUUCUAUGGCAUAAACGACUGGAUCAUGCAAGUCAAAUACAAUUGAAUAAACUUAUCUCUGAAAACUUAGUAAUAGGACUCCCUAAGACUAAGUUCAAAAGUGAUAAGAUUUGUGAAGCAUGCACCCUGGGAAAACAAGUUAAAACCUUAUUUAAGUCUAAACAAGUAAUUAGUACAACCAAGUCACUAGAACUAAUCCAUAUGGAUCUUUGUUGACCUAUGUGAGUUAAAAGUAGAGGUGGAAAAAGAUACGCAUUCGUGCUAGUUGAUGAUUAUACUAGGUACACUUGGACAAUAUUUCUUACUUCAAAGGAUGAUACGUUUGAGGCCUUUUGCUCUUUAAUAAGAAAGCUUGAAAAGAAAGUUGAGAAAAAGUUGAUCGCAAUCAGAUCGGACCAUGGAACAUAAUUUGAAAACUCAAAAUUCAUCCAAUUCUGCUCUUCUCAAGGUAUUGAACAUAAUUUUUCUGCGCCUAGAACUCCUCAACAAAACGGGGUAGUAGAAAGAAAGAAUAGAACCCUACAAGAGAUGGCAAGAACUAUGAUGCUAGCUAACAAUAUAACCAAUCAAUUCUGGGCUGAGGCAAUGAACACUUCUUGCUACAUUAUUAAUAGAUGUAUGCCUAGAACAAUUAUUAAUAAAACUCCCUAUGAGUUGCUUAAAGGCAGAAAAUCAAGCAUAUCACAGCUAAGAUCAUUUGGGUGUAAAUGUUUCAUUCACAAUAAUGGAAAGAACUUGUUAGGAAAGUUUGAUGCUAGUAGUGAUGAAGUAAUCUUUCUAGGAUAUUCUUCACAUAGCAAGGCUUACAGGGUCUUGAAUAAAAGAACAGUGUGUGUAGAAGAAAGUAUACAUAUAAUUUUCGAUGAAUGCAGUGCUAUGACUAACCUUGAUUUGCAGGAUGAUGAUGAGCUAUCUAGAACAUCCAUUGAAUCUGCACAGGAACAGGUUAAAGAAACAGGUACAUCAACUGGAGUAAAUGCCCAUACUGAUUCAACCACAGAACUGGGAGAUCAAAUUGCAAUUGAUCAAGGAGAGGCUUAAAAUAAUGAUACUGAGGGAAACAAUGAGCCUGAAAUAAAGGGUUAUAAGUAUCAAAGUU
rnacentral:lncRNA from 1 species